CUGGAGUUCAAGCACAUGUAGAAAAGACUGUCACACCACCAUCUACUCCACAGAACAUUCCAAUGAAGUCCUUAGGAUGAUGUAAUAAAAACCCACAGUUACUAAAGAAUUCCAUGUGUCCAGCAAUUUAAAGUCUACUCUAUUCAUACCAUUGAGAACAACUGAAAUGUAUUUGAAGAAACAGAUAAUAAGACAAACCUAGCAAACUGCUUUUGCAGCUCCUGAAGAUUUAAUUACAAGAAUAUUCUCAGCCUGAGAAUCACCUGCCCAAGAACUGCAAGAGGUUAUUGCUCACCAGCAACCUUUCAGGGUUUUCCUCCCAGAAGAAGUGCUUGUUCCAGGACAUAUGUAACACGUGGGAGAGCGAGCAGGAGGACAGGCUGCCUAUCAGUUUUUACCACAAGAGCUCACUUGGAAGACAAGUCUUUCUCCCCCUACAGAAAGAGCAUCUUUUAAGGAAAGCCAUUAGUGCUGGGUUUGUGAUCAGAUCCCAGUUGUUUGCAUGUUCUGUGCAGUGCAAUACAAUCACUGAAAUCGGUCCCAGCUGUAGAAACACAAUGCUGGGCUGUUGCUAAUGUGUGUUGUACUGAUAAUGAAUGGUCGUCUAUGCUUUAAUCUGAAUAAAGCUCCCAACUGCUCUGC